AGAUCUAUUCUCUUACUCACGGGUUCGUUGCUUCAUAUUUAUAUGGAGUGUUGUAGUUGGCUACGGGACGUCAGAAGUAGUUGGGCUCUAGUAGUAAUUAGUAGCGCAGACGUGGUGUCUAAGCUAAAGGGUUAUCCUUCGUUUGCCUUAUAUCCCAUGGGUUGCUAGAGGUAGCUGUAGGUGGUGACAGCCCUAUUGGUCCUUUAUAAUCCUCCACAUUCGGAUAUAGCGUAGAGCCGUUGGCCAGAGGUGCCUGACUAAUUCAGGGUAAGCCGAUGCUUGAAGUGAGUUUAUGACCUGAGAGAUCGACCUUUAACUCACCUAUAGAGCUAUCUUUAGAAAUCCUCCCUACCCUCACCACCUAUCUUGGUGUGUCCUUGGACCAACUAUACUAGGAGUUAGUGCACACACGUUCUCUUGGAUUUGAUACCCUUGGAAUACUCUGAGGUGAAACCUACAAUGAUAUUUGUGCGCUUGCGAAUUUAUUUGCAUUCAUUAAAUAUAGCAACACCAGCCAAAUGGGCGUUUGAUGAUUUUGAAAGACAUCAUAGGAUGUUUCGGUGUUUUACAAUACCUAGAGCCAGAUCAAUAGCUAGUUAAGUGCGCUUUCAAACAUAUUGAGAUACGUCAAAAGGAUUUUCCCACAACUACUAUGAUAAAAGGUCUAUAUGCACAUAUCGGUUUAUAUCUUAUACAAAAAAUGAGUUCAGAUCGAAUCAACUAAAAUAUUAAUUGAUUUUACUUCCUAGUCCUCGUCACUGUCAGGUACAAGAUUUUCAUCUUCAUUAUGGUAUUGUCAGAUAGUUUCAUCCUCCUCUUCAUCAUUAGAAUUGAAUCCAUCCAAAUCAUCCAUGCUUUUCUAGAGAAUGGAAGUAACUUGAUCCGCUGGAACGACAGUCCACUCCUCCUCGUCAGUAAUAGGCACCAGAGCCUCCGAACCAUCACCAAUACCAUCAUCACCACAUUCUUCAAUUUUCAUCAUCUUGAUAUGCAAGUACCAUGCCACUAGGUGCUAUGUCCUGCUCAUUUUCAUUAAAGCUCCACAAAUGCCUAUGCUCAAUUUUUUGCACCACUCUCCAUGGGUCUUGUAGCAGGGUGUCUGGCAAGUAGAACAUUCAUUUCUUGUUCAGCAAAAAUGUAGGGAUCACUUUUGUACCAGUACCUUCUAGUAUUGAUGCUUGUGAAGUACCCAUCAUUUCAAAUCCUCAGUUCCCUCUUUGUCCCUCCCAGAUCAUACCAAUCAAAGUGGAUUAAUACAAUAGUUCGACUUAUGCUACGUCCUGAUGAGUUAUACCGCAACUCAAUAAUUUCUUUUAGACAACCAUAAAACUCAAAUGGCUCACUGUUAUGAAAUCCAGGAGCCAUAAUCCCACUGUUCUGUGUCUUCCUAUUUUCCUCUCAACCAUGUGUGUGGUACCGGAUACAACCAACAAGACAUGUUGAAUAUUUUCUUUCUCGCUGGUCUGGUAAAGCUAAUAAUGCAUAUAGGUCCUCGGACACCUCUCAUUCAGGCAUCUUUUCAAUCUGUACAACAAAACCAUAGUUUUAUAUAUAGUUCCUCGCUAGCUAAUAUAAGUUUGUUCUGAAAAAGUAGAAAACUUACAUACGAUUUAAACCAUCGGGCAAAUUCUUUCUGAAUUCUAUGGUCAAUGAACUUGUCCAACACACCUUCCACUUUUAAUUGAUCCCUGUAUAUCCUGCAAAAACACAUCCAUCUAAAA
rnacentral:lncRNA from 1 species